CUGGCUCAGGAUGAACGCUGGCGGCGUGCCUAAUACAUGCAAGUCGAGCGAACUGAUUAGAAGCUUGCUUCUAUGACGUUAGCGGCGGACGGGUGAGUAACACGUGGGCAACCUGCCUGUAAGACUGGGAUAACUUCGGGAAACCGAAGCUAAUACCGGAUAGGAUCUUCUCCUUCAUGGGAGAUGAUUGAAAGAUGGUUUCGGCUAUCACUUACAGAUGGGCCCGCGGUGCAUUAGCUAGUUGGUGAGGUAACGGCUCACCAAGGCAACGAUGCAUAGCCGACCUGAGAGGGUGAUCGGCCACACUGGGACUGAGACACGGCCCAGACUCCUACGGGAGGCAGCAGUAGGGAAUCUUCCGCAAUGGACGAAAGUCUGACGGAGCAACGCCGCGUGAGUGAUGAAGGCUUUCGGGUCGUAAAACUCUGUUGUUAGGGAAGAACAAGUACAAGAGUAACUGCUUGUACCUGAC
rnacentral:rRNA from 1 species